UGAUGAUUCAACAGAUGUUCAAAACACUUUCAAGCCACUGAUGAUUCAAAAUUAUGGCUCCAGAUUCAAAAUUCAAAAUUAUGGCUCCAGAUAUAUAAGAUAAAUCAUUAGGUUCACAGUCUUUUAAACUCAAUACUCUUUCUUCCCCAACCAAACUCAUUCCAAUCUCUCUCUACUCUCUCUCUUCGAUGAAGAAUACGAGCAAGCAGUCAGACGAAUGCGAGUAUACUGGAUCUGCGAGCUUGAAGCAUAGCCCAUAUUGAAGUAUCUUCAGCUUCUUUUUUAUGGGUAUGCUCGAGGAUAUACGAAUGCGAGUAUACUGGAUCUGCAAGCUUGAAGCGGUUUUCGAAGUAUCUUCAGAUGGAUCUGAAGUAUAUACGAAUGCGAGUAUACUGGAUCUGCAAGCUUGAAGCGGUUUUCGACAGAGAUAAGCGCCACCCACUGAUUUCGCUGGAGGAUAUCGUCUUGCUUUUUAUGGUAACAAAAAAAGUUGGGAUUUGUCUAAGAGGGAUAUUGCACAGUGGAAGAGCUCACGUACGACUACAGGUUUUCUUCUAUAUGGUGUUUAGAUCUUAUCCAUUAACUAUUAUUGUUUUGUUUAAUGACGAUUUAUAAUAUUUGAUAUUGCAUAUUCUUUUCAACUGAUGAACGACUUCCAUGUUAUUGUGGUUUUCCAAGUUGCCGAGGUGUAGUUAACGACAUUGAUGCUGACGUACAAAUGGCCGAGCUAUGUGCACCACACAGUAAAUUAAAAGACAAAUCUGUUCGUGUUUGAUUGUUUAGAACAGUUUAUACAGAUUAUAUGUUUAAAAGGUCUAAAUUUCACUAACACUUCAACGUCAUACUGUGUUGAUUGUUUGUCAAAUAGAUUUCAAACUAAUUGUUGAUUGGUAGUUGAAGGUUUUCGAAGAAGAUAACAAGUGUGUAGUUGUGACGAGUCUUGAAAUCUAGAUUUGAAUCGAAACUGAAAGCAGUGUAGAUCAGUAUUGUUGUUUGUUUCGUCGAGUUAAAAUUCUGCAUAUCAUAUUCAAAGCUGGUGCUCGUGAGCUUUGAAAGUCAAAUCAUGGCUGGACAAUGAGACCACAUCCGCUCUCUGCCUUUUGCGAAACCAUCCAGGUGCUCGUGAGCUUUGAAAGUGAAAUCAUGGUUGGACAAUGAGACCACAUCCGCUCUCUGCCUUCUGCGAAACCAUCCAGUUGGAGUGUGAACUAGAGUGCUUAAUGGUUGAGUUUGAUUCCAAUCUUCAUAUUGAUGAGAAGCCUCCCAUACUUCUAAGAGACGUCUUCGAAAAAUGAAGCCAUUCUUAAUGGCUUAUGAAAAUAUUCAAACUGAAAAAGUAUGGCAUUUUGGAAUACGUUACUAUUGGUUAAACAGAUCGAUUAAUGACCAAUAUAACUUUGAUGACCGAGGUAAUCGAGAGGGUUUAUUAUACAAUCAACUCACAAUGGUUUAUUCAAAAAAAGAUUACAAGAACAGAGCUGAAAAUGUAGAAAUGGCAAAAUAUAAAUAAUGAGACAGUGGGUUAUAUACCCUAAGAUCAAUUGUUAAUAAGAAAGUGAUGAACACAAGUUGUUACAGUUUGUAAACCUGCAAUAAUAGCUCGUGUGUCUGAACCAUAGGGCUGCACCAAUGUUAUAUAGAGAAGUUCCCUUAACAAUAAGAAAGGCAAGAGCCAAAUUUACGGUAAUCAAGAGCUGGAGCCAGAGAGGAAGAAAGGAAAGCUAAGCUGGUGCCCUAAUAUCCUUCUGUAAGUUACUGCAGGGCUUGAGAUAAAAGGGCUUGAGGCCCACCACCAAAAAAUAGCCAGAAUGAAGAGAGCCCAUUAUGCAAAAAAGAAAAAAAGGAAAAAGGAUUAUUAAAUUGAUUUAUGAAAGGAAAUAACGAAAUUUAACACCCUCCCUCAAUUUGAUAAUCCGAACAUAUCAUGCAUAGAUAAUCCAUUGACUAAAAAAUCAUGUUGAGAUGCUAACAAACCUUUUGUAAAGAUGUCUGCUAGUUGCUUGUUGGUAUCCACAGCCAUAGUUUUAAUUAGACCAGCACUAAUUUUUUCCCUAAGGAAAAACAAAUCCAGUUCGAAGUGUUUUGUGCGAUCAUGAAAGACUGGGUUUGCUGCAAUGGAUAUGGCAACAUUGUUGUCACAAAAUAAGUUUACAGGAAGAUCGAUGGGAAACUGCAAUUCCUUUAAGAGAUUUAGAAGCCAUAGAAUUUCACAUGUGGCAGAGCACGUGGAUCUAUACUCAUCUUCGGCAGAGGACCUUGAGACGAUGUUUUGCUUCUUACUUUUCCAAGAAAUCAGGGAUUGUCCUAAGAAGAUGCAAUAUCCAGUGACAGAUCGUCUGGAUUCAAGACAUUUACCCCAGUCAGAGUCUGCAUAGGCUCGAAUGUUGAGACCCGAGCCUUUGAUAAAUAGAAUCCCUUUGCCUGGGGCUUUCUUUAAGUAUCGAAGUAAGCGAAGAGCAAGCUGAAGAUGAGAGUUAGUGGGUUGGUGCAUAUAUUGACUUAAAAACUGCACAGUAUAAGAAAUGUCAGGAUGGGUGUGAGACAAGUAAAUAAGUUUACCCACCAGUUUUUGAUAACCUGUAAUAUUGGUUAAAAUUGACUCAUCGGUUUUGCAAAAAUUCAUGACAACAUGAUGUUGCUCAAUAGGGGUGUUGACAGGUUUACACCCACGAAGACCGAAUUCAGCUAGUAAUUCAACACAAUACUUCCUUUGAGACAAACAUAUGCCUUUUUCAGUUCUAAGGACCUCAAUACCAAGAAAGUAUUUCAACAAUCCUAAAUCUUUUAUAAGAAAUUUUG